rnacentral:lncRNA from 1 species
CGCUUGGAUUGAGAAAAGCUAAGGACUUGUCAGAGAGCCACUGGGUCAGUCUUCAAGUAUUCAGCUGAUCCCAUUUGAUCCUGCACCUCCAGCUGAGGAUGGGUGUGGCAGAUACCAGACAUUGUGGACCAGGAUGUAAGAACCCCUUUAGUCCCUGUGAAGUCAUCUCUAAUCCAGUGUGA